GACUGAGAGCGGAGGCCGGGAGGAGGAGCCCGGCCUCGGCACCUCCCCGAGCCGGCCCCCCCGGGGAGGAGAGGGGUGGGUUCGGCUCCCAGACCCCCCAGUCCGGGUGGGGAGGUGCUGCCGAGCUGUCAUCCACAAGGACCAGAAUGAAGAGUAGGAAAAGGCUGAGCCAGAGAUAACAGAAGGAGAGCACAAGGUCUUUGUGAUGAGUACGUCUUCCUAUGACAGCAGACUCUCAAGAGUUUGACCUAGGUUUCCUCAUUGGAGGAAACAGAGGCCACAGAUGUCACAUGCAGUUCAAACUGUCACAGAAGGCUGGAUGAAGUCUUUCAUGAAACUGCAGUCCUACAUACAGCGUUUGUUGUGGUUGGGAGAAUCCAAACUCUCAUUCAUCUGUCUGAAGCAGGAAAAGGCACAAUGGUACAAUUUCAUGGAACAAUUUCAUGUUCCUCAUGGAUUGAGGAACAAUCUCAUGGAAUAGAAUUUAUAGUGUGACAGCAUCUUUUGAUGCACAGCUCUUGAAGAGUUUUCCAGAUUUUCUUUCUUCCAUGGAAACCUCUAAGAAGUUCCCACUUUUUUCUCCAUUAACCAAUCCUCUGCAAUUUCAAAACACCACAAUAUUUCAGUAAGGGUUGCUCCAGGAUUGCCCUAGGAUCGUGUGGCGUGGAAGUUCCUCUCCCUCCUGUGAUGGUGUAGCUGAUGUGGCUUUGUACCUUCUGGAGUUGUAGCUGCCAUUCAGUUCUCUUGUAGUGAUGGGCACAAUCAUGCUGGAAAUAUUUCUCAAGGGCUUGGAAGAGAAAUGGCACUCUGCAUUGCUUCAUGUCCUUUAAAACUAUUGCUUUUCACUUUUAAGGAUGAAAAUGUGCUUUUCACUUUUAAGGAUGAAAAUGCUGCUUGUUGCUACUCUUGAGGGCAUCAUUAAUCAGGUCUUACUGAAUGCUCAUCGGUUUAGUAGAUUUAUGUGUAUUUAUUGUAACAUUUCAUGUGCAGUUACAUCUAUUACACCUAGGCAGGUGCAGAUUCGUGGCUCGACAGGUAUAUUGUUCCUUUGCUGAGUCAAGGGAAGAUUUUACCCAGCCAUGCCAGAGAGCUUCAGCUGGCUGUAUGAACUGAAAUAUAUUUAAGAUUGUAGAAAUGUAUUUAAGAUUGGUAGCAUUUGAAAUAAUUGGUGAGGACAGAAACUGAAAUGAGGAUCCAGUUGUGCUCAGCGUUGCAUGAAUAUAUAGUAAGAAGAGGCUUCUAGUCUAAAUAUAUAGAGAGGUGAAUGUGUGUGUGGGAAAAGUCACAGAAUAGAGAAGUGAUGUGUGCAAGAUCUCACAGCAGAUUGUUUGAAAAUCUUGGCAUGAACCCAUAACUCCUGUUUUCUGGGGCUAUUCCCUUGUUCUUCUCCAACUCAGCCUGCCAAUACAGAGUUGUCAUCUGUACAUGGAUACACAGAUGUCAUAGUGGACUGCAAAGCCAGAUCUUCAGCUCAUUGAAAAUCAGUGUUUUGUCAUGAUGUCAAUAAGGCUAUACUGUUUUACAUUAUAUGAGGGCUUUUCACUAAGUUUUUGUUGAUGUCUUCUAGUAUUUUUAAGACUCAGAACUCUAAAGUCAGGACUUUCAAUAUUUCCUGCCUAAUUUAGGUAUGAAAUCCAUACUUAGGCUGAGAAGGCUAUGGCCAGAUUUUUGAUGGGUGAUUCUACUGGGAGCCUGAGUCUGUGGUAGCUCCAAUCACUCAUGUCAUUGUUUACGUAGGAAUGUAAGUGCUGUACUUCAGGCCACCUAGUUUGAAAAUUUGUCUGAAAUAUUGCUAGACAUUCCAGUAUAGCCAAAUGCUCCUAUUGCCUUUGUUUGGUUCAACCAUCCAUCCUUUUGAGUUUUCUUCAUUUAUAAAACUAAUGGUCUUGAUGCAUAGCUUUUGCAUUAAUUUGACCUUGUAUAAACAGAUAACAUUUGCAAAAAUUGGUUUAGCUUUUUCAUAGGUUCACAAUAGGAAUGAUUCAGGUUCUAUAUUUUGGGUCUUUAUCCCACUGGACUGCUGCUAACUUCAACAGUACAGGACAAAUCAACUAUGGAAGUAAAUUGCCCAAAAUGCCUUUACUGAAUUAAGCAUAACGUUCUCAGGUUGGUUCUCUUUCUCAAGCUGGAUUACUUCUAAAAUCAGCCUAUUUCUGAGGAUGGUUCCCUUCAGCUCAGUCAAAAAUAUCCUUUAAUUUUCAGCAGUGCUUUGAAAUGACCUCACAAGGUUAUAUAAUAACUUUUACAAGGAGAUCUGGAGACUGUAGAAGCAUGAUGGGCUGGUAUUUCACUUACAUCUGGAUGUACUGUGUGGCAUAUUAACACUGCAGACACAUCUGCUAUUCCUAAGGGGCUGAGCAAACUUCAUGAUCUUGGGCAGAUGCAGUACGCAGGGCUGACAGAGCAGACAAAGACUCAUCACAAGUUGCUAUAGCAGGUGAGAGAUGGAUGCAGGGGAAUUCAUCGGGGCUUAUCGCGGUGGUGCGUGAUGUGCAAAAUAACAUAAAGCAUGUGGCUGUGUUGGGAACAGACUAUGAUGAACUAAAUUCUAUCAUGAAUAUAAAGGAGCAAGAGUUAAUGAUUUAACUACUGUCAUUCUCCCAAUAGCUUAAAGUCUGGUUCCCAGUGACUACACCUCUGUCACCGCACCAAGCUUGAUCUUGUCUGCAAGACCAGAAGGGUCACUAGAAACAUGAACAGUUGCAAGCCAAGUCAUAGUUUUACCCAGAAUUUCUAAAUCACUAAAUCCACAGAAGUGGUAAUAUUCCAUGUGGUAUGUUUGUUUUUAUUUUUAGACUUCUGUACUGUUGUUAUACGCAACUGAGAGAUCUGGCAAGGUUUUGAACCCUGGAAGUACAUUUUUAUGCCUAUCUUUCACACUCAUGUAGCUAAUUCAUAUAAUCUACAUUAUUAUUUUAAUAAACAACUUCCUCCUUCUCUUUG